AUUGAACGCUGGCGGCAGGCCUAACACAUGCAAGUCGAGCGAGCGGCGAACGGGUGAGUAAUGUCUGGGAAACUUCCUUUUGACGGGGGAUAACUACUGGAAAAGGUAGCUAAUACCCCAAACCAUAAGAUGUGCCCGCAGGGGAUUAGCUAGUGGGUGGGGUAACGGCUCACCUAGGCGACGCUCCCUAGCUGGUCUGAGAGGAUGUCCAGCCACACGGGAACGGAGACACGGUCCAGACUCCUACGGGAGGCAGCAGUGGGGAAUAUUGCACAAUGGGCGCAAGCCUGAUGCAGCCAUGCCGCGUGUGUGAAGAAGGCCUUCGGGUUGUAAAGCACGUUCAGCGGGGAGGCGUUACCCGCAGAAGAAGCACCGGCUAACUCCGUGCCAGCAGCCGCGGUAAUUC
rnacentral:rRNA from 1 species